AUGGACAUAAAGGCCCCUGCUCAGCUCCUUGGACUCCUGUUGCUCUUACUCCCAGGUGCCAUAUGUGACAUCCAGAUGACCCAGUCUCCAUCCACCCUCCCUGUAUCUCUCGGAGACAAAAUCACUAUCACCUGUAGGGCCAGUCAGGGCAUUAGCAAUUAUUUAAACUGGUACCAGCAGAAACCAGGAAAAUCUCCUAAACUACUGAUGUAUUAUACAAAUAACUUGGCAAAUGGGAUCCCAUCAAGGUUCAGUGGCAGUGGGUCUGGGACGGAUUAUUCUCUCACCAUCAGCAGCCUGGAGUCAGAAGACAUUGCAACUUAUUACUGUCAACAGGCUUAUAAUGAUCCUCUCACAGUGAUACAAGUCAUAACAUAA